GAUGAAGAACGUAGCGAAAUGCGAUACUUGGUGUGAAUUGCAGAAUCCCGUGAACCAUCGAGUCUUUGAACGCAAGUUGCGCCCGAAGCCAUUAGGCCGAGGGCACGCCUGCCUGGGCGUCACACGUCGUUGCCCCCCCAUCUACUCCUUCGGGAUUGCGGGGGGCGGAUGAUGGCCUCCCGUGCGCCUCGCCGCGCGGUUGGCAUAAAUGCCAAGUCCUCGACGACGCACGCCACGACAAUCGGUGGUUGCGAAACCUCGGUUGCCCGUCGUGUGCGGUCGUCGCGCAUCGAGGGCUCGAAAAAAUUGCCGGGUUCCGGCUCGGCUUUCAACGCGACCCCAGGUCAGGCGGGGUUACCCGCUGAAUUUAAGCAUAUCAAUAAGCGGAGGA
rnacentral:misc_RNA from 1 species